rnacentral:misc_RNA from 1 species
UGGCUCUGGCAUCGAUGAAGAACGCAGCGAAAUGCGAUAAGUAAUGUGAAUUGCAGAAUUCCGUGAAUCAUCGAAUCUUUGAACGCACAUUGCGCCCCUUGGUAUUCCGAGGGGCAUGCCUGUUCGAGCGUCAUUAACACCCCUCAAGCUUGCUUGGUCUUGGGGCUCGCGUCUUCGCGGCCCUUAAAAUCAGUGGCGGUGCCGUCCGGCUCUCAGCGUAGUAAUUUCUCUCGCUCGUGGGUCGUCCGGUCACGCUGACAACUUCUUUUAUGUUUGACCUCGGAUCAGGUAGGGAUACCCGCUGA